CAGCCGCCGCGGUAAUACCGGCGGCCCGAGUGGCGGCCACUAUUAUUGGGCUUAAAGCGUCCGUAGCCGGGUUGGUUAGUCUCCCGGGAAAUCUGGCCGCUUAACGGUCAGAAUUCCGGGAGAUACUGCCAGCCUAGGGACCGGGAGAGGCCGAGGGUAUUCCCGGAGUAGGGGUGAAAUCCUAUAAUCCCGGGAGGACCACCUGUGGCGAAGGCGCUCGGCUGGAACGGGUCCGACGCUGAGACCCGAAAGCGUGGGGAGCAAACCGGAUUAGAUCCCCGGGUAGUCCACGCCGUAAACGGUGGGCACUAGGUGUGGGGGGUUAAUCCCUCCGUGCCGAAGCUAACGCAUUAAGUGCCCCGCCUGGGGAGUACGGCCGCAAGGUUGAAACUUAAAGGAAUUGGCGGG
rnacentral:rRNA from 1 species